rnacentral:lncRNA from 1 species
GGCCGAGCACAGGAGGAAAGGGAUCUUCUCACCGUGGGAGCUCCUGGGGGUGUUUCUCUCCUGUUCUGUUAGGUAGCAAAAAAAAAGAAAGGACUUUUUUUCCUUAUUUUCUGCAGCAUCUGCAGGCAUGAGUUGGGCCUAUGCAACGGCGUGUAGGAGCGCGUGCCUCCUUCGCUUGAUCUCCUUUCGUUCCCGGGAACGCUUCUCUCAUCAGAGCUUGCAGAUUUCAGGCACGCCGUAAGAUAUUUUUAAUCAUCAUCUGUCACGAAGUUUCCGAGUUAAAGGAGCCUCUGUCCUGCUGGGAGAAGCCUAUUUAUUCCCCCUUGUUUAAAACACCCUGGCAGUCGUUUUCAUGACGACGCCUCCUCCCUGCCCCUCCUGGGCUGCGCGGCCGUAUUUACGGGUGUCCAGCAGAAGAGCUUUCCUGCCCCGUCCCUUCGCACCUCCCCUGCCGCCUCCCUCUUUCCCCGAGACGUAUCCCGUGCGCGACUUCCAACAGCACAACCCGGCAAAUAAGCGCGACAAGAUGCAAUAAGGCGAAUCCCUAGGAGAUCCUCCUAUACGGCAGGCAAGAGAAGGGGGAAAGUCUCCGGCCACAUUCCUCCGUUACAACACACCUGAGUUGUUGAUGCUAAUUAACAACAUCUGCUCGGUGGGUGCAACUUCCGCCGGACCACGGAGAAGUUUGCAGGGAAGAGCUGAGUGGGGGUUUGCUGCUAAGCUGAAGAAACCUUCUCGGGACAGCUUCUGACGAGAGGCUUUUCUGUUUAUGAAUAAAUGCAAGAAGCAACAAGUCUGCAGUUCUGAAUGGCCUGGGAGCUGCUCUUUCCAGAGAUCUGAAAACCCAGAGCAUAUUCAAGAGCUCAGCCAGGUUUCAUCGAAACCCCACGUUGCCGAAGGUUUUACCACAGUGACCUCCUACACAUUGCAAACUGCUGAGCAUCACCCCAGUUCUCGCUGGGAAGAACCUGAAGGGAUGGACAGCGUUCAGCUCUGUUGUCUUUCAGGAGUUGCACUUAACGUUUCAAAUGGGCCAAAUGGAUGUAUGAGCUGUGGUAACAGUCGCUCGCUGAGAAACGGGAGCAGAGAAGCAGGAGGAAGAGUUUACAGUGGUAGAAAAUGGAUGCGG